rnacentral:tRNA from 1 species
GGCCUGGUGGUGAAAUUGGCAGACACGCAGCACUUAGGAUGCUGUGCCCGAAAGGCGUGCGGGUUCGAGUCCCGCCUGGGCCA